UCAUCCCUAGAGUGGUUGCAAGUGUGAGUGCUCUGUCAAAUGUGCAUCAGUAGCUGGGAGAAAAUAGUUUAUAUCUACCUUCAGUAUUCUGACCUGCAAACACAGGUAGUAGCCUAACAUU
ensembl:snoRNA Gm22732 predicted gene, 22732